rnacentral:rRNA from 1 species
GGGUCAGUAGGUUGGUCGUGCCACCGGUACGUACUGGUCUCACUGAUUCCUCCUUCCUGAAGAACCGUAAUGCCAUUAAUUUGGUGUUGCGGGGGAACAGGACUGUUACUUUGAAAAAAUUAGAGUGUUUAAAGCAAGCUAACGCUUGAAUACAUUAGCAUGGAAUAAUGAAAUAGGACGAUCGAUCCUAUUUUGUUGGUUUCUAGGAUUGACAUA